rnacentral:rRNA from 1 species
CUCUGUGACUCCUACGGGAGGCAGCAGUGGGGAAUAUUGCACAAUGGGCGCAAGCCUGAUGCAGCAACGCCGCGUGAGUGAUGAAGGCCUUCGGGUCGUAAAGCUCUGUCCUCAAGGAAGAAUAAAUGACGGUACUUGAGGAGGAAGCCCCCGGCUAACUACGUGCCAGCAGCCGCGGUAAUACGUAGGGGCAAGCGUUAUCCGGAAUCACUGGGCGUAAAGGGUGCGUAGGCGGUUUUUCAAGUCAGAAGUGAAAGGCUAUGGCUCAACCAUAGUAAGCUUUUGAAACUGUUAAACUUGAGUGCAGGAGAGGAAAGUGGAAUUCCUAGUGUAGAGGUGAAAUUCGUAGAUAUUAGGAGGAACACCAGUGGCGAAGGCGACUUUCUGGACUGUAACUGACGCUGAGGCACGAAAGCGUGGGGAGCGAACAGGAUUAGAUACCCUGGUAG